GACGAACGCUGGCGGCGUGCUUAACACAUGCAAGUCGAGCGGAAAACUUCGGUUUUCAGCGGCGGACGGGUGAGUAACACGUGGGCAACCUGCCUCACAAUGAGGGAUAGCCUUCCGCAAGGAAGAUUAAUACCUCAUAACACAAGAGAAACGCAUGUUUCUCUUGCCAAAGAAUUUCGUUGUGAGAUGGGCCCGCGGCGCAUUAGCUUGUUGGUGAGGUGACGGCUCACCAAGGCUUCGAUGCGUAGCCGACCUGAGAGGGUGAUCGGCCACAUUGGAACUGAGACACGGUCCAGACUCCUACGGGAGGCAGCAGUGGGGAAUAUUGCACAAUGGAGGAAACUCUGAUGCAGCAACGCCGCGUGAGUGAUGAAGGUCUUCGGAUUGUAAAACUCUGUCUUCUGGGACGAUAAUGACGGUACCAGAGGAGGAAGCCACGGCUAACUACGUGCCAGCAGCCGCAGUAA
rnacentral:rRNA from 1 species